UGUCUCUACUUGUAAAGCAGUGACAACAACCCAUGGCCAGACCCCCAAACCUGUUUGGAUGAGCAUCUCUUAGAGUGAACAAGUGCAAAGAGUCCAACCAGACUGUUGAUUGAGACAAUGGCUUCUGGAGAUAACCUAAACCCCAAGCUUGAGGCUACAAUCAAUGCUUUUUGGGACAGAGUUCCAUCAACUAAAGAAAGGACUGUGUCAAGUCCAGCCAGACGACUCUAAUACAGGUUACAAGUUUAACUUGACUGUUGAGAUUGAGAUGAUACCCUUUGGGGUGGCAUACACCCAAUUUGGAGGCUACAAUCAAUGUUUUUUUUUUAAUGAGUUACACCAACCAAGAUAGGACUGUGUCAAGUCGACCCAGUGACUCUCGGAGGGUUUAACUGAUGAGUUGAGCAAUCGCUGGUCGAAUGCUCCCACCUGUUUGAAUGAGCAUCGUUUGAAAAAGGUGCAAAAAGACAACAUACCGCUUGAUUGAGAUGAUGCCCAUACAACCAAUCUUGAUGCUGAUCAAUGCCACUGUCUGAAGGAGGACUGUGCCAAGUCAAGCCCAGUGAAACUCUGCUCAACUCUUGAAGUGACGUAGGAUGUUGAGAAUGAGCCUAACCAUUGAUAUUGCACUGCAUGCAACCCGCUGAAGGACUACGUCAAGUUUAGCAAGUCGACUCUCCGCUACAACUUGAACUUACUCGUAAGUACUUUUUGGAAGUACUUUU